UGUCCAGUAGCACCUUAGAGACCAAUUAAGUUUGUUCUUGGUAUGAGCUUCAGAUACCUAUCUGAAGAAGUGUGCAUGCACACAAAAGCUCAUACCAAGAACAAGCUUAGUUGGUCUCUAAGGUGCUACUGGACA